AUCGAGCUGACGAGUCUCAGAUAGAACAAAACGCACGUCCUGGAU
rfam:Schistosoma margrebowiei strain Zambia genome assembly, scaffold: SMRZ_scaffold0003172